rnacentral:lncRNA from 1 species
CCUGGCUUAUGUCUUGAGUCCUAAAUCAGUAUCCAUUCAAAGUGAAAACAUGGGCAAGAAGUUUGGCCUGUCUUUUGAAUACCAGAGGUUUGUUCAGGAGGAUAAAACUUAGAAGUUGAGUAGCAAAUUAUGAAAAAUGUCAGAAGGUUGUUGUUUUGUUUUUUUUAAGGUCAGUUGAAGUGAGGGGUUAAAGCUGUUGGGGCUAGUGUUACAUUUGGAUGCUGGGCUCUGGACAUGAAGAGGACAAAGUGCCUUCUGGCCAGCAGUUUUGUUCAAUUACAGUUUCAGGAAGAAGUAUAAGUUUUAAGUGAGAUGUAGCAAGUGGUACCUGCUGAAGAGUCCCCCUGUCUGCAGUGUGAAGUUCUCACGAUUUAUGACUGAACUUGGGUAUGUCUUCCAGAAAUCUGGCACUCUCCCAUGUGGAAUGGUCCAGGUGAAUGUUGUACAAGGGUAAG